rnacentral:tRNA from 1 species
ACGGCAGUGGCGAAAAUGGAAGACGCGAUCGAUUUGGGUCCGAUUGGGGUGGCCCUAGGAAGCUGGCCCGUACGGGUUCGAUGCCCGUCUGCCGUACCA